UUGAUUGUUAUCAAUAUUCCAAAGACAGUAACGGCGAAAGCUUAAUCAUGUUACCGAGGGUUGAUGCAGUAAGUAUUGUUUUUGCAUUGUAAAGCCCGUACUUUGGUAUGGGCUUUUCUUUCGAAUAU
rfam:Firmicutes bacterium CAG:308 genomic scaffold, scf16